UACGAAGGGGGCUAGCGUUGCUCGGAAUCACUGGGCGUAAAGCGCACUAGGCCGAUUGUUUAAGUCAGGGGUGAAAUCCUGGAGCUCAACUCCAGAACUGCCUUUGAUACUGAAGAUCUUGAGUUCGGGAGAGGUGAGUGGAACUGCGAGUGUAGAGGUGAAAAUUCGUAGAUAUUCGCAAGAACACCAGUGGCGAAGGCGGCUCACUGGCCCGGUACUGACGCUGAGGUGCGAA
rnacentral:rRNA from 1 species